GAUGAAGAACGUAGCGAACUGCGAUAAGUAAUGUGAAUUGCAGAAUUCAGUGAAUCAUCGAGUCUUUGAACGCACAUUGCGCCCCCUGGCAUUCCGGGGGGCAUGCCUGUCCGAGCGUCAUUGCUGCCCAUCAAGCCCGGCUUGUGUGUUGGGUCGUCGUCCCCCCCCGGGGGACGGGCCCGAAAGGCAGCGGCGGCACCGUGUCCGGUCCUCGAGCGUAUGGGGCUUUGUCACCCGCUCGACUAGGGCCGGCCGGGCGCCAGCCGACGUCUCCAACCAUUUUUCUUCAGGUUGACCUCGGAUCAGGUAGGGAUACCCGCUGAACUUAAGCAUAUCAAUAAGCGGAGGA
rnacentral:misc_RNA from 1 species